CAGUCGUACCUUCGGGUAAUCAGCCUUUCGGGUGCGAUUCUGUGGAGUGUGAGGAGUUAAACACCUUCAUGUUUUGCAUAUUCGUACUCUUGGGUGUACUUGCCCGUGUGGUUGGUUAACAUCAAUUUUGGUGGUCAUAAAAUGACUGGAGGAAUGUAGCUUCGAUCUCGUAUUGAAGUGUUAUAGCCUUCGGUAGAUGUGAUGAUCGAGAUUGAGGAUUGCAACGGAUACCCUUCGGGGCUUCCUGUCUGAUCUCUGAUCGUUGCUCUGGUGCCGAAAGCUUGCUUACGGUUAUCAAAGUCGAUGGUCAAUAGGUUAGAACGGGUUAAAUUCGUUAAGGAUGUUGACGUAAUGGCUUUAAACGA
rnacentral:rRNA from 1 species